rnacentral:lncRNA from 1 species
GAUAGGUACAAUGGACUAUCUGAAACUGGCUAAAAGGAUACAACACCGAUUUACAUGAGUCUCUAUUAGUUCAACAGUAUUUACAAGAAAGAAAGACAUAAUAGCUUAAGGGUAUAAGACACAACACCCCAAAGCAGCUGGAGAGUACAUUAUCCCUAACAGGUAAUAUCCACAGCCCCUUCCAGCCUGAAGAAGCUAUAGAACACAAACACAAC